rnacentral:tRNA from 1 species
GGGCCAGUAGCUUAGUGGCUAAAGCACCGAGCUUAUACCUCGGCGAGCGAUGGUUCGAGUCCAUCCUGGCCCA